AUAAAGUAGCAAUACUUUGGUGGCGACCGGCGCACGGGUGAGUAACGCGUAUGCAACCCAUCUAUCAGAGGGGAAUAACCCGGCGAAAGUCGGACUAAUACCGCAUAAAACAGGGACACCGCAUGGUGAUAUUUGUUAAAGAAAUUCGCUGAUAGAUGGGCAUGCGUUCCAUUAGGUAGUUGGUGAGGUAACGGCUCACCAAGCCGACGAUGGAUAGGGGAACUGAGAGGUUGGUCCCCCACACUGGUACUGAGACACGGACCAGACUCCUACGGGAGGCAGCAGUGAGGAAUAUUGGUCAAUGGGCGAGAGCCUGAACCAGCCAAGUCGCGUGAAGGAAGAAGGAUCUAUGGUUCGUAAACUUCUUUUGCAGGGGAAUAAAGUGCAGGACGUGUCCUGUUUUGUAUGUACCCUGAGAAUAAGGAUCGGCUAACUCCGUGCCAGCAGCCGCGGUAAUACGGAGGAUCCGAGCGUUAUCCGGAUUUAUUGGGUUUAAAGGGUGCGUAGGUGGUUUGAUAAGUCAGCGGUGAAAGUUUGCAGCUUAACUGUAAAAAUGCCGUUGAAACUGUCGGACUUGAGUGUAAAUGAGGUAGGCGGAAUGCGUGGUGUAGCGGUGAAAUGCUUAGAUAUCACGAAGAACUCCGAUUG
rnacentral:rRNA from 1 species